rnacentral:rRNA from 1 species
UACGUAGGGGGCAAGCGUUGUCCGGAUUUACUGGGCGUAAAGCGCGCGUAGGCGGGAAGAGAAGUCCGGUGGGAAAGCCCACGGCUCAACCGUGGAAGAACGCUGGAAACUCUCAUUCUUGAGGGCGGCAGAGGGAAGUGGAAUUGCUGGUGUAGCGGUGAAAUGCGUAGAUAUCAGGAGGAACACCUGCGGUGUAGACGGCUUUCUGGACCAUUGCUGACGCUGAGACACGAAAGCGUGGGUAGCAAACAGG